CCGCUCAGAGUGAACGCUGGCGGCGUGCCUAACACAUGCAAGUCGAACGAGAACGGGUUAAAGUUUACUUUAACUGUCAGCUAAGUGGCGCACGGGUGAGUAAUAUAUAGUUAACCUGCCCUCGAGAAAGGAAUAACAGUUGGAAACGACUGCUAAUGCCCUAUAUGCCUUUAUGACAUAAGUCAGCAAGGGAAAUGCUUUAGUGCUCGAGGAUGGGACUGUAUGGUAUCAGAUAGUUGGUGAGGUAAUGGCUCACCAAGUCAAUGACGCCUAACUGGUUUGAGAGGAUGAUCAGUCACACUGGAACUGAGACACGGUCCAGACUCCUACGGGAGGCAGCAGUGGGGAAUAUUGCACAAUGGAGGAAACUUUGAUGCAGCAACGCCGCGUG
rnacentral:rRNA from 1 species